UUUAUCCUGCUCAGAUUAACGCUGGCGGCAUGCCUUACACAUCAAGUCGACGGCAGCACGGGGGCAACCCUGGUGGCGAGUGGCGAACGGGUAGUAUACAUCGGAACGUGUCCUGUAGUGGGGGAUAGCCCGGCGAAAGCCGGAUUAAUACCGCAUACGACCUAAGGGAGAAAGCGGGGGAUCUUCGGACCUCGCGCUAUAGGGGCGGCCGAUGGCAGAUUAGCUAGUUGGUGGGGUAAAGGCCUACCAAGGCGACGAUCUGUAGCUGGUCUGAGAGGACGACCAGCCACACUGGGACUGAGACACGGCCCAGACUCCUACGGGAGGCAGCAGUGGGGAAUUUUGGACAAUGGGGGCAACCCUGAUCCAGCAAUGCCGCGUGUGUGAAGAAGGCCUUCGGGUUGUAAAGCACUUUUGUCCGGAAAGAAAACUUCGUCCCUAAUAUGGAUGGAGGAUGACGUACCGGAAGAUG
rnacentral:rRNA from 1 species